rnacentral:misc_RNA from 1 species
GAUGAAGAACGCAGCGAACGUGCGAAACGUAAUGUGAAUUGCAGAAUUCAGUGAAUCAUCGAAUCUUUGAACGCAUCUUGCGCUCCUUGGUAUUCCGAGGAGCAUGCCUGUUUGAGUGUCGUGAAUACUCUCAACUUCAACCCUUUUUUCGGAAAGGAGGAAGGUUGGACUUGGGUGUUUGUUGAAGUGCGAGCUUCGACUCAUCCUAAAUGCAUUAGCGAUCUGCCUCGAUCACACACAAUGUGAUAAUUAAAACUAAAGCAUUGUUUAAUGAUCAAGUCGAGACUGCUUCUAACUGUCGCAAGACAAUAACGUGCAUACAUUUGUGCAUGUCAUUUGACCUCAAAUCAGGUAGGACUACCCGCUGAACUUAAGCAUAUCAAUAAGCGGAGGA